rnacentral:rRNA from 1 species
AGAGUUUGAUCAUGGCUCAGGAUGAACGCUAGCGACAGGCUUAACACAUGCAAGUCGAGGGGCAGCGGGGAGCAAGCUUGCUUGCUCUGCCGGCGACCGGCGCACGGGUGAGUAACACGUAUGCAACCUGCCCUCCGCAGGGGGAUAACCCGGAGAAAUCCGGACUAAUACCGCGUGGUACACCAGUGGGGCAUCCCACGGGUGUUAAAAGGAAGCGAUUCCGGCGGAGGAUGGGCAUGCGGCGCAUUAGCUUGUUGGCGGGGUAACGGCCCACCAAGGCGACGAUGCGUAGGGGUUCUGAGAGGAAGGUCCCCCACACUGGUACUGAGACACGGACCAGACUCCUACGGGAGGCAGCAGUGAGGAAUAUUGGUCAAUGGGCGGGAGCCUGAACCAGCCAAGUCGCGUGAGGGAAGACGGUCCUAUGGAUUGUAAACCUCUUUAGGCGGGGAGCAAUGCCGGGCACGCGUGCCCGGAGGGAGAGUACCCGCAGAAUAAGCAUCGGC